rnacentral:rRNA from 1 species
GGGUCAGUAGGUUGGUCGUGCCACCGGUACGUACUGGUCUCACUGAUUCCUCCUUCCUGAAGAACCGUAAUGCCAUUAAUUUGGUGUUGCGGGGAAACAGGACUGUUACUUUGAAAAAAUUAGGGUGUUUAAAGCAAGCUAACGCUUGAAUACAUUAGCAUGGAAUAAUGAAAUAGGACGAUCGAUCCUAUUUUGUUGGUUUCUAGGAUUGACGUG